rnacentral:sRNA from 1 species
UUCCCUAGGAGAAAAAUUGUCACCGUUGUUGAAAGUAAUCGAAUUAUUCUCUUCUACACAGCCGUUCUAAGUCAUGGUCAUUGCCUUUUGUGUUGGAGGGUGGUCCAAGGGCUUAUGCCUGUGGUGGUGUGGAUCGUGCUGUCCCCUGUGACAAGGGCUGGGAGCUAUCCAAGAGAGAACAUACUGUCCAGAGAGAACAGAAGACAGGAGGGACAGAGGACAGUAAGGGCAGUCUCAGACAAGCCUUAGAGGUCUCAUGGAAUGCCACGGGAGAUGCUACAAAAGCUACCACCCACAGCCAGCCUGUCCUUUCAGCUCAAGCCACUGCCUUGUUUCUUAGAGACACUUGGCCCUGUGCCCAAGGAAAAUGCUCUCCCAGCAGGCUAAGAAGCUAAGGCUUGCUAAGGGGCCACCCGGCAGCGUCUGCUUUUGAUCUCGAGAUGCUCUCUGCUGCCCUGAACCCUUUUUUGGAGAGAGGUCAGGAAGCAGGAGGAGUCUGAUGUCCAGAUCAGCCGUUUAAGGGGAAGGCAGUGCCUCAGGGCAGCUCAGUGCUGCAGUGUCUUCUUCCCCCACAAGCCAGCAAGAAGCCAUGGACAGAACUGUUCAGACAAGCUUGCCCUACCCAGCCAGAACCGCUGUUUUCUCAGACAGCAGAGAGGUUUCUUCACGAGCAGUUUGUAGAUGCCGUGGGAGAUGCCUUUUAGUGUGGAAUGAACCCGUUAAAUCUCAAGAAACCCCGAGGCAGAGGACUAAGAGAUGUUGAAGAGAAGAUGAGUCUGUGUGUUUAUCUGUGCUUAGAGGGCUCCGAUGGGAACAGAGCUCUCAAAUGAAAGCGUGCGCCCUGUGUGUUGGUGGAAGAAACCAGCAGGCAGGCAUCCAGGCCGGGCUCGAUCCUUUUCCACCUCCGUGCGUGGUAAUUUUAGGACUCCCUUCCCAGAUAAGACAGAAUAUUGGGACCAUACACCAUGUAAGCCUGUCCACUCAGAUAUUUUGUGUAAUUGAAGUGUAUAUGAUUUUAAGAUGCUCAGAAACAGGAUUUUGGCAGGAAACCCAUAGCCAUCAUGGUCACAGAAGUCUUUCAGAGCCGGAAGUGACUUUGAGUGGAGAGUCAACAAAAGCAAUUUGCAAAGCAAAGGCCUGAGGCUUGGUUCUGAGUGUCCCAGUUCUGGGAAGAGUGAGCCUCUCUAGCAGAUAAUAAUUCAUAAGUAGUGACUGAUUGCUUAAGAUUUCUGGAACUGAGAAUCCUAGCUGGCCUCACUCUCGGAGCAGUCUGGUGGUAUUUCAACACUGCUGGUUCUUGAAGCAAAAUGUAGGAGACAAAGCCCUCCCUGCCAGACACUGAGUGGGGUAUUUCUUUAAAUAAAACUAAAUUUCUUUAGUUUGCAUCGGGGUGUGAAGCAGUAUGGGCAACGUGAGACAGUUUUUGUUUCUUCAAACCAGGCUGCUCACUGCUGCAGAAAACAACCUUGUUCUUGAGAGCUGCUGCUAAUUUACAGCGAGACACUGGGUUCCCACCCAGUACCACAUGAGCGACCAAUCCAUCUACCCAGGGGCACGUCCCGGAAGAGCCUCACUGAGGAGGGAAGAAGUAUGGGUGUCGUUUGUAGUUUCCUGUGCGUUAAGGAAAAUCUGGUGGUGAAAAAUCUGACUGGCAACAUGGGAUCUCCAUUAUUUCUUUGCCUGCUGAGAUUCCUGGGAGUGUUGAGGGGAAAAACAACCGCAGGCCCUCGGGUGUGAGCUUUAGAAAACAACAGAAAUGUAUUGCUUCUGCUGCUUCUCUAAUUUCUACUGGCAAACAAUAACAGCCUUUCAACCACCGCCGUCGACCGAGCGCACACUGCGCCUGAAGUCCCAGGGUACACAGCUUUUGGAGAAUGGGGACUUACUGUCUCUCGCACCCUGCGCCCACUCCCGUGGAAGAAGACAGCCUGCACCACACCAUCUUGCCUUUCAGGCUAGCUCCAUGUCCUGUUCCCGUGACUCUCACCCUGGUGUGGCCUGCACUCCAGUCAAGGCAAGUCCCGACUGACAGAGAAAAUCCCUGCUCACCAGCCUUGACCUGGGGAGAGAGUCCCUGGCCUCUGAGCAGACAGAGGGCCUGGUGGUCAGCCCGUGGGAGCCCUGGAAUGUGCACUACUGGGACGGCUCAGAAAAACCGGGAAGCCAAGACUUGUCAGGCCUGGAGUACUAAAGCAUGCCUGCUGAACUGUGGCCCACUCUGAGGAAAGGGAGGGGCCUCAGGGAAAGCUGGUGGGUGGGGUUCUGGCUGGGAGUCCUCUGGAGUCCGGCUUAUAGACCGGGAUGAGGCAGGGCUGCUACGUCUGAUUCUUAAGUGCCUCAGGUAAACAGAGUCUCCCUUGCUUUGCCAAGAGGAAUGCAAAAGCUAUCAAAAUUGUAAAAGUCUGUGCCCUUUGAUGGAGCAAUCUCACUUGUAAGACUCUCCUCCACGGAGAAGUGCGCACGUCAUUUCAAGUGGGGUCUAUAAAGAUAGUAACAGACUUAAAACAAAUGGCUCUGGGCUUUAAACGUGUUGGGCAUCUGGACAACCAACAGUCUGUCUUUAAAUAACCUGCACGUGGAAGGCAGUGGGGGCAGGUCCAAACGUAUUAAGUUUAAAACAAUAAAAAACAGGACUGUGCGCCACACGGCCCUGGGUGACGUAA